rnacentral:tRNA from 1 species
GAGGCCGUAGCUCAAUUGGCGGAGCGCCAGGUUGUGGCCCUGGAGGUUGCGGGUUCAAGCCCCGCCGGUCUCC